UACGUAGGGUGCAGGCGUUAAUCGGAAUUACUGGGCGUAAAGCGUGCGCAGGCGGUUUGCUAAGACAGGUGUGAAAUCCCCGGGCUUAACCUGGGAACUGCGCUUGUUACUGGCAAGCUGGAGUGUGGCAGAGGGGGGUGGAAUUCCACGUGUAGCAGUGAAAUGCGUAGAGAUGUGGAGGAACACCGAUGGCGAAGGCAGCCUCCUGGGCCAGCACUGACGCUCAUGCACGAAAGCGUGGGGAGCAAACAGG
rnacentral:rRNA from 1 species